CAAGCUAAAGCUUUUAAGAAGCAUUUUAGUUACAUUAAAAAGAAGAUUAUUUUUAUAGUAUAGUUUGA
rnacentral:tRNA from 1 species